GGUUAAGCGACUAAGCGUACACGGUGGAUGCCCUGGCAGUCAGAGGCGAUGAAGGACGUGCUAAUCUGCGAUAAGCGUCGGUAAGGUGAUAUGAACCGUUAUAACCGGCGAUUUCCGAAUGGGGAAACCCAGUGUGAUUCGUCACACUAUCAUUAACUGAAUCCAUAGGUUAAUGAGGCGAACCGGGGGAACUGAAACAUCUAAGUACCCCGAGGAAAAGAAAUCAACCGAGAUUCCCCCAGUAGCGGCGAGCGAACGGGGAGCAGCCCAGAGCCUGAAUCAGUGUGUGUGUUAGUGGAAGCGUCUGGAAAGGCGCGCGAUACAGGGUGACAGCCCCGUACACAAAAAUGCACAUACUGUGAGCUCGAUGAGUAGGGCGGGACACGUGGUAUCCUGUCUGAAUAUGGGGGGACCAUCCUCCAAGGCUAAAUACUCCUGACUGACCGAUAGUGAACCAGUACCGUGAGGGAAAGGCGAAAAGAACCCCGGCGAGGGGAGUGAAAAAGAACCUGAAACCGUGUACGUACAAGCAGUGGGAGCACAGAGCAAUCUGUGUGACUGCGUACCUUUUGUAUAAUGGGUCAGCGACUUAUAUUCUGUAGCAAGGUUAACCGAAUAGGGGAGCCGAAGGGAAACCGAGUCUUAACUGGGCGUUAAGUUGCAGGGUAUAGACCCGAAACCCGGUGAUCUAGCCAUGGGCAGGUUGAAGGUUGGGUAACACUAACUGGAGGACCGAACCGACUAAUGUUGAAAAAUUAGCGGAUGACUUGUGGCUGGGGGUGAAAGGCCAAUCAAACCGGGAGAUAGCUGGUUCUCCCCGAAAGCUAUUUAGGUAGCGCCUCGUGAAUUCAUCUCCGGGGGUAGAGCACUGUUUCGGCAAGGGGGUCAUCCCGACUUACCAACCCGAUGCAAACUGCGAAUACCGGAGAAUGUUAUCACGGGAGACACACGGCGGGUGCUAACGUCCGUCGUGAAGAGGGAAACAACCCAGACCGCCAGCUAAGGUCCCAAAGUCAUGGUUAAGUGGGAAACGAUGUGGGAAGGCCCAGACAGCCAGGAUGUUGGCUUAGAAGCAGCCAUCAUUUAAAGAAAGCGUAAUAGCUCACUGGUCGAGUCGGCCUGCGCGGAAGAUGUAACGGGGCUAAACCAUGCACCGAAGCUGCGGCAGCGACGCUGAUGCGUUGUUGGGUAGGGGAGCGUUCUGUAAGCCUGUGAAGGUGUACUGUGAGGUAUGCUGGAGGUAUCAGAAGUGCGAAUGCUGACAUAAGUAACGAUAAAGCGGGUGAAAAGCCCGCUCGCCGGAAGACCAAGGGUUCCUGUCCAACGUUAAUCGGGGCAGGGUGAGUCGACCCCUAAGGCGAGGCCGAAAGGCGUAGUCGAUGGGAAACAGGUUAAUAUUCCUGUACUUGGUGUUACUGCGAAGGGGGGACGGAGAAGGCUAUGUUGGCCGGGCGACGGUUGUCCCGGUUUAAGCGUGUAGGCUGGUUUUCCAGGCAAAUCCGGAAAAUCAAGGCUGAGGCGUGAUGACGAGGCACUACGGUGCUGAAGCAACAAAUGCCCUGCUUCCAGGAAAAGCCUCUAAGCAUCAGGUAACAUCAAAUCGUACCCCAAACCGACACAGGUGGUCAGGUAGAGAAUACCAAGGCGCUUGAGAGAACUCGGGUGAAGGAACUAGGCAAAAUGGUGCCGUAACUUCGGGAGAAGGCACGCUGAUAUGUAGGUGAAGUCCCUCGCGGAUGGAGCUGAAAUCAGUCGAAGAUACCAGCUGGCUGCAACUGUUUAUUAAAAACACAGCACUGUGCAAACACGAAAGUGGACGUAUACGGUGUGACGCCUGCCCGGUGCCGGAAGGUUAAUUGAUGGGGUCAGCGCAAGCGAAGCUCUUGAUCGAAGCCCCGGUAAACGGCGGCCGUAACUAUAACGGUCCUAAGGUAGCGAAAUUCCUUGUCGGGUAAGUUCCGACCUGCACGAAUGGCGUAAUGAUGGCCAGGCUGUCUCCACCCGAGACUCAGUGAAAUUGAACUCGCUGUGAAGAUGCAGUGUACCCGCGGCAAGACGGAAAGACCCCGUGAACCUUUACUAUAGCUUGACACUGAACAUUGAGCCUUGAUGUGUAGGAUAGGUGGGAGGCUUUGAAGUGUGGACGCCAGUCUGCAUGGAGCCGACCUUGAAAUACCACCCUUUAAUGUUUGAUGUUCUAACGUUGACCCGUAAUCCGGGUUGCGGACAGUGUCUGGUGGGUAGUUUGACUGGGGCGGUCUCCUCCUAAAGAGUAACGGAGGAGCACGAAGGUUGGCUAAUCCUGGUCGGACAUCAGGAGGUUAGUGCAAUGGCAUAAGCCAGCUUGACUGCGAGCGUGACGGCGCGAGCAGGUGCGAAAGCAGGUCAUAGUGAUCCGGUGGUUCUGAAUGGAAGGGCCAUCGCUCAACGGAUAAAAGGUACUCCGGGGAUAACAGGCUGAUACCGCCCAAGAGUUCAUAUCGACGGCGGUGUUUGGCACCUCGAUGUCGGCUCAUCACAUCCUGGGGCUGAAGUAGGUCCCAAGGGUAUGGCUGUUCGCCAUUUAAAGUGGUACGCGAGCUGGGUUUAGAACGUCGUGAGACAGUUCGGUCCCUAUCUGCCGUGGGCGCUGGAGAACUGAGGGGGGCUGCUCCUAGUACGAGAGGACCGGAGUGGACGCAUCACUGGUGUUCGGGUUGUCAUGCCAAUGGCACUGCCCGGUAGCUAAAUGCGGAAGAGAUAAGUGCUGAAAGCAUCUAAGCACGAAACUUGCCCCGAGAUGAGUUCUCCCUGACCCUUUAAGGGUCCUGAAGGAACGUUGAAGACGACGACGUUGAUAGGCCGGGUGUGUAAGCGCAGCGAUGCGUUGAGCUAACCGGUACUAAUGAACCGUGAGGCUUAACCUU
rnacentral:rRNA from 1 species